rnacentral:misc_RNA from 1 species
CGUUAAUCGGAAUUACUGGGUAAAGCGUGCGCAGGCGGUUCGGAAAGAAAGAUGUGAAAUCCCAGAGCUUAACUUUGGAACUGCAUUUUUAACUACCGAGCUAGAGUGUGUCAGAGGGAGGUGGAAUUCGCGUGUAGCAGUGAAAUGCGUAGAUAUGCGGAGGAACACCGAUGGCGAAGGCAGCCUCCUGGGAUAACACUGACGCUCGUGCACGAAAGCGUGGGGAGCAAACAGGAUUAGAUACCCUGGUAGUCCACGCCCUGGAACGAUGUCAACUAGCUGUUGGGGCCUUCGGCCCGGUAGCGCAGCUAACGCGUGAAGUUGACCGCCUGGGGAGUACGGUCGCAAGAUUAAAACUCAAAGGAAUUGACGGGGACCCGCACAAGCGGUGGAUGAUGUGGAUUAAUUCGAUGCAACGCGAAAAACCUUACCUACCCUGACAUGUCUGGAAUCCCGAAGAGAUUUGGGAGUGCUCGCAAGAGAACCGGAACACAGGUGCUGCAUGGCUGUCGUCAGCUCGUGUCGUGAGAUGCUGGGUUAAGUCCUGCAACGAGCGCAACCCUUGUCAUUAGUUGCUACGAAAGGGCAAUCAUCGAGACUGCCGGUGACAAACCGGAGGAAGGUGGAUGACGUCAAGUCUCAUGGCCCUGGUGGGUAGGGCUUUCACACGUCAUACAAUGGUCGGGACAGAGGGUCGCCAACCCGCGAGGGGAGCCAAUCCCAGAAACCCGGAUCGUAGUCCGGAUCGCAGUCUGCAACUCGACUGCGUGAAGUCGGAAUCGCUAGUAAUCGCGGAUCAGCAUGUCGCGGUAGCACACCUCUGGGUCUUGUACACACCGCCCGUCACACCAUGGGAGUGGGUUUACCAGAAGUAGUUAGCCUAACCGUAAGGAGUGGCGAUUACUACGGUAGGAUUCAUGACUGGGUGAAGUCGUAACAAGGUAAC